rnacentral:rRNA from 1 species
AGGACGAACGCUGGCGGCGUGCUUAACACAUGCAAGUGGGGCGACGAACCAGGCUUCGGCCUGGGGCAAAGCCGCGAACGGGUGAGUAACACGUGGGUAACCUGCCCCGAAGAUCGGGACAACCCGGGGAAACCCGGGCUAAUACCGGAUGUGGUCACUGUUCACAAGGACGGUGAGCAAAGGGAGCUUCGGCCCCCGCUUCGGGAUGGGCCCGCGGCCCAUUAGCUUGUUGGUGAGGUAACGGCUCACCAAGGCAACGAUGGUAGCUGGUCUGAGAGGACGAUCAGCCACACUGGGACUGAGACACGGCCCAGACUCCUACGGGAGGCAGCAGUGGGAAUCUUGCGCAAUGCGCGAAAGCGUGACGCAGCAACGCCGCGUGGGGGAAGACGGCCUUCGGUUGUAACCCUUCGAGGAGGGACGAAGCGUUCGGAGUAGAACAGCUCUCCGGAGUGACGGUACCUCCGAGAAGAACGCCCGGACUAACUACGU